rnacentral:lncRNA from 1 species
AUAAUUGAAGUACCAAAACGCUGGAGAGUUUUGAUACUAAACUUAGAUAUUACAUGAUUUAUAAGGUACUAAAAUGUAUUUAGUCAUUGAUUAUAUUAGUUGUGCUUCUUACAUGAUUUUAAUGUUUUUUAUUUUCAGAUGCCCGUGCCGUAAAUUCCAUCGUCAAAACAUGUUUGGAAUCUUGGAAGAACAAAUAUUAUAUGUUUACAUGUUAGAAUCAACCAUUCUGAAGAUUAUAGACUUAAGAAAUUGUGUUUAUUUUUGUAGUCAUAAGACAUUUUAAAUAUAUAAAUCGAUGUCUCACUUUCAUGAAACCUUUUUAUUGUUGAAUUGCAUUGAGGAUUAGAUAUGGGCAUAAACAAAUUUACUCUUAGACUAAACAUUGCUCUGUUACCAUAUCCGUCUUUGGCCAUUGUAGAGUGUGUAGCUUAUUCGAGUUACCUCAUAUUUCUUCAUUUUUUAAAGCUUCUUUCGGAAAUUGGUGAUUAUAGAGGAUUUACUAUCCUAUAUUUUGUUCCAUAAUUUAGGUUGUAAUUUCGUCAUGUAAUAAAUAAUCUAAUGACUUCAGUG